CUGAAUCCUGAAUGUGUAGGAUGUUACACCCAGAUAUUGCUUCAAACCAUUCCUUUAUACCCUUUAUGAUCCAUCUCAUCUCAUUCUCCUCCCUCUUCGUUACGAAACACUUUAGCAAUCUCACCCACAGCCAAAUGAAAGUAGACAUUGUGUAAAACUUUUUUUCUCUCUCCCUCCCACUCCCUCUGCUUUCUAUUAAGCCCCUAACGCAUGUCCCAUCCCCCAUUACUCUUCUCCAUGCUCUCUCUUCAUCUCUCAUGUCGGAAAGCAGCUGGGGUCGCAGAACAAAACCAGCGAUGUCCUUUUUCGGAAUUCAACUGACGGACAUUCAACAUGAAUAAACAAAAUAAACCUGUAGUGCACGAUGGCAACGUCCUGCUCUGUCUUUUCUUUCUACCUUGCUCAAAAGUGUUCAUUUUCUUGAAAUGUUUAGGGAUAGAUUCCAUUGUAAGCACGUUUCUGUGGCCCUAUCAUACUCCCGCCCAACCAUCCCCACACCCACCCGUCUCCCUCAUGUAAAUAUCUCCCUCCAGUUGUGUAAUAUUAUUUCAUCUACGCAGUUCUGUUUCAGGCAAGCCAGUUUGGUCACUAUCCUUCAACAGAUGAUCAUGUCGAUGAACAUGGCGUCCAACAUCAGUCCAGCAGGGGGAGAAGGAGGGCCACAUACCACUAUGGUGGGAGGAAGUAAACCACUGCACCGCUUCAUCAGAGGCGAGCCAAAGAGUACUGGGAUUGUAAUGAUGUUCAUGGGAUCAUCACUCUUCAUCUUGGGGAUUCCCAUGAGGCUGGAUACACUGAAGUCCUCUGCAGAGAUUUUCACCCCUUUUUGGCUAGGAAUCCUGUUCAUCAUCUCUGGGUUGUUAUAUGUGCUCACAGAGAAGAAUCCUUCAAAACAACUGGCAUCCUGCGCAUUCAGGAAUCACAUGACUCCUAUGAUUAUUACCACGAAGACUACAACGCCACAGAAUCUGGCAGAGUUGCAGCCCUCUGGCAUAAACAACAUAUGUACCAGUUGAUCAGCCUCGAGGCUGUAUUUAUGUACCAGAGCUUAGUAGGCAUGGUGCUCCUAAUUGUGAUGACAUCAUUUGCCAGGGUUGCCCUGCAUUCCAGCAAGACACAGGCAGUUGUGGUAAUGCAAGAUCUACCAUCACCAGACUGAAUAAAGAAAACAAGGCUUUUCUGACUGUCUCUGCCGUGGUGGAUAGAUAGAAAAUUGGGACUUGCCCAUUGAUAUGAAAUAAAUGUAUUCACAAA